rnacentral:rRNA from 1 species
AUUGAACGCUGGCGGCAUGCCUUACACAUGCAAGUCGAACGGUAACAGGUUAAGCUGACGAGUGGCGAACGGGUGAGUAAUGUAUCGGAACGUGCCCAGUCGUGGGGGAUAACUGCUCGAAAGAGCAGCUAAUACCGCAUACGACCUGAGGGUGAAAGCGGGGGAUCGCAAGACCUCGCGCGAUUGGAGCGGCCGAUAUCAGAUUAGGUAGUUGGUGAGGUAAAGGCUCACCAAGCCGACGAUCUGUAGCUGGUCUGAGAGGACGACCAGCCACACUGGGACUGAGACACGGCCCAGACUCCUACGGGAGGCAGCAGUGGGGAAUUUUGGACAAUGGGCGCAAGCCUGAUCCAGCCAUGCCGCGUGCGGGAAGAAGGCCUUCGGGUUGUAAACCGCUUUUGUUAGGGAAGAAAAGGUUCUGGCUAAUACCUGGGACUCAUGACGGUACCUGAAGAAUAAGCACCGGCUAACUACGUG